UACGGGGGGGGCAAGCGUUGUUCGGAAUUACUGGGCGUAAAGGGCUCGUAGGCGGCCAACUAAGUCAGACGUGAAAUCCCUCAGCUUAACUGGGGAACUGCGUCUGAUACUGGAUGGCUUGGAUCCGGGAGAGGGAUGCGGAAUUCCAGGUGUAGCGGUGAAAUGCGUAGAUAUCAGGAGGAACACCGGUGGCGAAGGCGGAUCUCUGGGCCUUACCUGACGCUGAGGCGCGAAAGCUAGGGGAGCGAACAGG
rnacentral:rRNA from 1 species